rnacentral:rRNA from 1 species
UACAGAGGUCUCGAGCGUUAGGCGGAAUCACUGGGCUUAAAGCGUGUGUAGGCGGAUCGUUAAGUACCUUGUGAAAUCCCACGGCUUAACCGUGGAACUGCUUGGUAUACUGGCGGUCUUGAGCCAGCUAGGGGCUACCGGAACAAAUGGUGGAGCGGUGAAAUGCGUAGAUAUGCGGAGGAACACCGACGGCGAAGGCAAUCCCCUGGACCUGUACUGACGCUCAUGCACGAAAGCGUGGGGAGCAAACAGG